UACGAAGGGGGCUAGCGUUGUUCGGAAUUACUGGGCGUAAAGCGCACGUAGGCGGAUAUUUAAGUCAGGGGUGAAAUCCCGGGGCCCAACCCCGGAACUGCCUUUGAUACUGGGUAUCUCGAGUCCGAGAGAGGUGAGUGGAAUUCCGAGUGUAGAGGUGAAAUUCGUAGAUAUUCGGAGGAACACCAGUGGCGAAGGCGGCUCACUGGCUCGGUACUGACGCUGAGGUGCGAAAGCUAGGGGAGCAAACGGG
rnacentral:rRNA from 1 species